AAAAAAAAUUUAACUUUACUCAGUUAACUUUUUCUUAGAUUUAGAGAUGUUUGGAAACUAUUUGCAAGACUCAUAAAAUAAACACUAAAUAAAGAUGGUAUAGAAAACAAGUAAAUAGGGUGGCAUCCAUUAUAUUGUAUGUAAAUGUGCUAUAAAGUAUGAAGUGUUAUGAAUUAGGCAUUCUUUCUUCAGUCAAAAGACAGACUCAGACAAUUGCUUAGUUUUGUUAAAACAUUUCUCCAUAAUUCUACAGCUGUGUCUUAGAUGGUAACUGAAUAGUAAUGUUUUGAUUACAGCUUUGCAGAUGUUGAGGCCCUAGACACAGCAGCUUUCUUCAAUCAAGUGGUGAGGCCCUAGAAGACACAUGUCUUUCCCGUAGGUCAGUGCAAGGAUCUUGAGCAUGAAACCCUAUGCUCAGAGCAGUGGGCUGGAAGGCUUGCUCCCCUGUGUGUGUGUAUGUUUGCAUGUGUGUGAGUGUGUGUGCGUGUGUCUGUGCCUGCACGUGUGUGUUUCUUUCUGUGUAAGCACAAAGUAUGGAUUCCAGUGUCAUUAUUUUGUAUACCACAAUUUUUGGAUUACAAAUAGAAAAAUGACAUUUCUUUUGGGAAUGGAGAGUAUUGGACAGUAAAAUUGAUAUCUGAAACCCUGUGCAUUUCCAAUCGCUUAAACCGCAGAAGUUUUGUAUCUUUUGCAGCUAGAAGAGACAUUCAAGUGCACUCAGUGCUACAGACCUAGAUCAUUUCUAACAGAGAGAAGCACUAGAACCGGAGCCUUUGGAGGCCCCUUCUCGCAUAUCACAUAGCCUUCUCUUAAUGAUCCUGCUUUUAAACCAGAGGUCAGCAACUUUUUCCUGUAAAGGGCAAGAUAGUAAAUUAUUUUGACUUUGCAGGCCCGUGGUCUCUGUUGCAGUUGCUCAGCUCUGCCGUUGUUGUGUGAAAGCAGUGGUAAAGGAUACUUAAAUAAAUGAGUGUGGCUGUGUUCUAAUAAAGGUUUAUUUACAAACAUAAGUAUAGGUCUGACUUGGCCCACAAGCUGUGGUUUCCUGACCCCAGUUUUAUACUGUUGAAGUCAUGACAAUUUCUGUUUGAUGGUCACUAAAAGGCUAUUGAGUCUUAGAAUGGCAAAGCUACCACCUAGCCUGGUGGUAAGGUGAGCUGUUGCAUCACAGUCCCCAUGACUUGGCUUCUUUCCAGGCCUGCAUGUGCUCAGAUCUCCAGCAGCCAGGAGAGUGGGCCUGGCUCCCACAGUGCUCCGGUUUCCAAAAGGAAUCACACAUUCCCUUCCUGUGCAGAUAAAAGAACAAUUGUACCAUGGGAGAACUUACUGGAAAGUAAUGCGAGGUCACCAGGAAGGAACAGGAAUUCACUCCUCGGUCACAGUCUUCAUAGUCUGGUUGGGAGUCAAUCAGAUCUAAAAAGGCUUUAUUUAUGUUCUUUGGAAUUCAUACAGACACAUCUUGAAGUUCUGAGGAGCUGUUACUAAUGUGCCCCUCUGGGAUCAGACUGAUUUUGACUGUGAGAACUGGCAUCUUUGAGAUCUCAUGAAAAAGAACCCCACAUCAGAACUCCAGGCCUGGGAAGUACCAUCCCAUUGUUCCAUUGAGCGAAUGCAGGCCAGACUGAGACAGAAUGAUAGAUGUACUACAAUUCUUUGAGGCUGUGGAUGAACUUUUUAAAAAAAUACAUUUUUAUUUUGGAAUAGUGCUAGAUUCAGAGAAAAGUUUCAAAGAAAAUAGAGUGUUCCCAAAUAUUCCUCACCCAGUUUUUCCCAUUAUUUCCACAUUAAUAUUCCUUUUCUGUGCCGUGAUUGAAUCCAGGGUACCAUGUUGCAUUUCGUUCUCAUGUCUCCAUAAUCUGUGGUGUGUGACAGUUUCUCACACAGUUCCUUGACAGUCUUGAAGAGGCCUGGUCAGGUAUUUUGUAGAUGUUCCUCAUUUUGGAUUUGUUUUAUGUUUUUCUCCUAGUUAGACUGGAGUUACAAGUAAGAGAAGAAGUUCCUAACCAAUAAUCUGUCAAUGUGAAAUGUUAUCAGGGAACAUGUUAUUGGCAUGAUUUAUCACUGAUAGGUUAACCUUGAUCAUUGGGUUAAGGUAGUGUUUUCCAGGUUUCUCCACUGUGAAGUUAUUAUUUUUCCCUUUCAUAGUCUAUUCUUUGGAGGCAAAUCACUGAGUCCAGCUCAUGUUCAAGGUGGGAAGGGGUCUAAGCUCCACUUUCUGGAGGGAGGAUUAUCUACGUAUAGUAGGUGGAAUUCUUCUGUAAGAAAGAAUUGUCCCUUCUCUUCCAAUUUUUUUUUUUUUUUUGAGAUACUGAUGGGAUGGAUGUCUUCGAAAUCAGUAAGAGGCCUAGUACUAUUUUUUUGAGAGAUGUGUAAACGUUGAUUCUCCCACCUGUUUCUUUGAGAGCAUCAGGAGACUUGAGAAAAUUCCUGGGGCAAAUAUUUCUGCUUCACACAGACAAAAGCAGGCUUGCCCUGGGCCCACGCUUCA